rnacentral:rRNA from 1 species
UACGGGGGGGGGCAAGCGUUGUUCGGAAUUAUUGGGCGUAAAGAGCUCGUAGGCGGUCUGUCGCGUCGGCUGUGAAAACCCGAGGCUCAACCUCGGGCCUGCAGUCGAUACGGGCAAACUAGAGUACUGCAGGGGAGACUGGAAUUCCUGGUGUAGCGGUGAAAUGCGCAGAUAUCAGGAGGAACACCGGUGGCGAAGGCGGGUCUCUGGGCAGUAACUGACGCUGAGGAGCGAAAGCGUGGGGAGCGAACAGG